AUCCUACGGGAGGCAGCAGUGAGGAAUAUUGGUCAAUGGGCGGAAGCCUGAACCAGCCAAGUCGCGUGAGGGAAUAAGGCCCUACGGGUCGUAAACCUCUUUUGCCGGGGAGCAAGGGCGGGGACGUGUCCCGGCCCGGAGAGUACCCGGAGAAAAAGCAUCGGCUAACUCCGUGCCAGCAGCCGCGGUAAUACGGAGGAUGCGAGCGUUAUCCGGAUUUAUUGGGUUUAAAGGGUGCGUAGGUGGUUUCUUAAGUCAGAGGUG
rnacentral:rRNA from 1 species